AGUGGGGAAUAUUGCACAAUGGGCGGAAGCCUGAUGCAGCAACGCCGCGUGAGGGAUGACGGCCUUCGGGUUGUAAACCUCUUUUAGCAAGGAAGAAGCGGAAGUGACGGUACUUGCAGAAAAAGCGCCGGCUAACUACGUGCCAGCAGCCGCGGUAAUACGUAGGGCGCAAGCGUUAUCCGGAAUUAUUGGGCGUAAAGAGCUCGUAGGCGGUUUGUCGCGUCUGCUGUGAAAUCCCGAGGCUCAACCUCGGGCCUGCAGUGGGUACGGGCAGACUAGAGUGCGGUAGGGGAGAUUGGAAUUCCUGGUGUAGCGGUGGAAUGCGCAGAUAUCAGGAGGAACACCGAUGGCGAAGGCAGAUCUCUGGGCCGUAACUGACGCUGAGGAGCGAAAGGGUGGGGAGCAAA
rnacentral:rRNA from 1 species